GACGAACGCUGGCGGCGUGCUUAACACAUGCAAGUCGAACGGAAAGGCCCUGCUUUUGUGGGGUGCUCGAGUGGCGAACGGGUGAGUAACACGUGAGUAACCUGCCCUUGACUUUGGGAUAACUUCAGGAAACUGGGGCUAAUACCGGAUAGGAGCUCCUGCUGCAUGGUGGGGGUUGGAAAGUUUCGGCGGUUGGGGAUGGACUCGCGGCUUAUCAGCUUGUUGGUGGGGUAGUGGCUUACCAAGGCUUUGACGGGUAGCCGGCCUGAGAGGGUGACCGGCCCAUUUGGAAUGAGGACCCGCCCGAGACUCCUCGGGGGGGCAGCGGGGGGGAGUAUUGACCAGUGGCGGGAGCCGUGAGCCGUCAACCCGGCGGGCGGGAUGCGGGCCUCGGUGUUGAAACCCGCUUCCGCUGGGGCGGAGGCGUGAGGGGCGGAAAUGGGAAAAGAAGCACCGCCAACUUACGU
rnacentral:rRNA from 1 species